rnacentral:rRNA from 1 species
ACGGCCGCAAGGUUAAAACUCAAAUGAAUUGACGGGGGCCCGCACAAGCGGUGGAGCAUGUGGUUUAAUUCGAUGCAACGCGAAGAACCUUACCUGGUCUUGACAUCCACGGAAGUUUUCAGAGAUGAGAAUGUGCCUUCGGGAACCGUGAGACAGGUGCUGCAUGGCUGUCGUCAGCUCGUGUUGUGAAAUGUUGGGUUAAGUCCCGCAACGAGCGCAACCCUUAUCCUUUGUUGCCAGCGGUCCGGCCGGGAACUCAAAGGAGACUGCCAGUGAUAAACUGGAGGAAGGUGGGGAUGACGUCAAGUCAUCAUGGCCCUUACGACCAGGGCUACACACGUGCUACAAUGGCGCAUACAAAGAGAAGCGACCUCGCGAGAGCAAGCGGACCUCAUAAAGUGCGUCGUAGUCCGGAUUGGAGUCUGCAACUCGACUCCAUGAAGUCGGAAUCGCUAGUAAUCGUGGAUCAGAAUGCCACGGUGAAUACGUUCCCGGGCCUUGUACACACCGCCCGUCACACCAUGGGAGUGGGUUGCAAAAGAAGUAGGUAGCUUAACCUUCGGGAGGGCGCUUACCACUUUGUGAUUCAUGACU